rnacentral:misc_RNA from 1 species
GGAAGUAAAAGUCGUAACAAGAUUUCCGUAGGUGAACCUGCGGAAGGAUCAUUAUCGUACAAAAUGUGAGGGGCAUGCGAGGGCUGUCGCUGACCCAAAAGUCGUGCACGCCCGAGUGUGUCCUCUUGCAUAAUAAUCCAUCUCACCCUUUGUGCAUCACCGCGUGGGCACCCUUCGGGAUCAUCUCGGAGGGGGGCUCGCGUUUUCACGCAAACCCCCCUUUUAAAAGUGUAGAAUGACCACAUUUAUGCAAUCAAUACAACUUUCAACAACGGAUCUCUUGGCUCUC